GAUGGUUUUGAUUGCUGGAGUCUUUUUUAGUAGUUCUUGCUAUUGUGGAUUUUAUUCCUGCACUGCAGUAAUAACAUUUAGAAUAUUUUUUUGCUUGAAAUUGGUCUGUUAUUAUAAGCACUAUGAAUUGCUUUUGUAAAUAUUCUCACUGCCUUUACUUCUCACGUUUGCCACUGUUAAUAGGAUGUUGUGGACGUCCAUGACAGUUUAGCUGCUGAAGCUGAACAUGUUGAUGCUUCCAGAAAGGAAAGGUCCUCAGUUCAAGGUGUAGAACAGGUCUAUAUUGAGAUGCAUUUCUUUGGCGUAAUACUAGACAACAUUGACAGUUGAAGUUUUUAGAAUAAAAAAUAUAUUUCACUAACAUUGUAUAAAUUUCUUGUUUAAUAUUUGGUGAUGAUAUAAUUUGAUUGUAGUAUAAACUGUCAUGUAAUAUGAUUUUGUAAGCCGAGUAGAUUAAAUACUGAAAUGAUAUUUUUGAGUAAUUAAUAAAAAAAUAUUUUGUUGUA